AAGUCGUAACAAGGUUUCCGUAGGUGAACCUGCGGAAGGAUCAUUAACACGUAUCCAAACGUUAAACCCCCCCGUGAACCUUCAGUGUACUCGUACGUCCGUUAGAAAAAGCAGGGACGUCUGCAAGGAGCGUGCAUGUUGUGCGAAGCAAGUGGCCUGGCAUCCCCAAGCAGUUAGUGUCUGAAAGCGUCAUUAACUGUGUAAGGAUGACGCAGUCACGAUCGUUGGAGGCCCACACGGCCGACGACCGGGUCACUGGGCGCAAGCCCCCCUAUAACAAACGCUGCUAAUCGCGGCCGCGAUAAUACGCAGUCGACCAAAAACCGAACAACUGUUAACAAUGGAUAUCUUGGUUCUC
rnacentral:misc_RNA from 1 species